rnacentral:lncRNA from 1 species
GUAUCUGGAACAAACAAACUCGCGAUGAGAGAGAGAGAGAGAAAGAGAGACAGAGGAAGAAAGAGUGAGAGACAGAACAGGAGCGAGAGCGUAAGGGAUGUCAUGGCGAACGCGGGGGUGGCGGCCGCCCGCGGCAACUCUGUGGUCCUAGGUCAGCAACAGUGUCCUUCGUGAUGGCCGAGAAUUCAUUUAACGCCGCGUCAGUGUCAACCCUCGCGCAAUAAAUUGCCGCUCGACUCGGCUUUUGCCUCACCAAGGGCGCGUUCAGCUUCUCAACCUGUGCUUCGCAAGUGUCAAAUCGAAUUUCUCAACCCUUGGGCUGUCGACAAGGACUCGAAGAGGCUUAGUUCUCACUUCUUGAAUCGCAGUUCGCAACUCCCAAAUCUCCAAGCAAACUUUGGAUCGCCGUUUCGCUGCUUUUGCCUGUUGAUUCUUGCUUCAUGUUGUCACGAAGUUGCGAGGAUGGUGACGUCCAAGUAACAAAGAAAUGCCUCUAUCAUGCGAACGUCAGAACAGUCUUUGCCGUAUGUAAAAUUAUGUUGACUAAUUAAAACGGAGGAGCAAAAAUAAAAUGAGAUAAUGAAAUAAUUUCUUUGCAGUUACUUUAUACUUAAUUGCUUUAUAAAAUACUUUCCCCUUUCAUGAAAAAAAGGAUUCUUCAAAGUAAUAUCUUCCUAAAGCGAUAUUUUUAUAAAUUCAAGUCUUGUUAAUUCAUGGUAUGCUUUGGAGAUGAAGACGUGUGAUCUGGUUUCAAUUCAGCUAUUCAGAAAUUAAUGUCUCCGCUUUCUAUCGAGCACUUUUGUUUAAGUGAAUCUCUUUUCGAGCGCAGCUGAGAAAUAUUGCAGGACGGCGAUGGGAGGAAAUGUCACCGUCAAUCUUGCGCGUCGAUCGCGGCCACGACGGCGUUCGCGACGUGCGGAAUGCUAUAAAUAGGAAUCCGCUUGUGAGAGCCACGAUCGAGUGCGUCAGCUGAUCACAUAUUGACAGUUCGAUAAGUUGCCGCGCGGAAGCAUCGUUCAACCGUCUAAACUGCUCCUCGCGCAAUUAGUCGCGCCUCGGCUGGGACGAUGGAAUCUUGACUUUCACAGGAUCGAUCUAGAAAUGUUCCCUUCUUUUCUUUUUUUUUUUAACGAUGGCAUCGCCAGCGGAAACAAGGACGUUGGAUAGAGAUUCCAUCGCGAUAAUAUUUUUUCUCAAAGAAACGUUACGUUUCCCCAUUGUUUUUUAUGCUGAUCACGCUGCAAAUUUAAAGAGAAAGGAAUAAUGAAAAAUUUGCAAUUGUUAAAUUCCAUUUUAGAAAUUAUGAACAUUUUUAUAAAAAAUAAAAAACAAAAUUGAUGAAACUAGAAAUAUUGGAAUAAAAUUAUUUAACAUAACGAGUCCUUCAGUAUAAGAAAGAAAUAAUUAUUUAAUAUUUUACCAAUAAUGGAAAAAUUUUUUUCUUAAUCGACUACGAUUGAAUUAUGAUUGAUGGAAGGCAGAUCGUAGAUCGUGGACAAACCUGUUCGUCGAACUUGGGGGCGGCUUAGGAAACGUGACUGGGGUGCUCCGCCGAAGGAUCGACGCGUGAUCGAGGACCGAUUUCAGGUGGCGGCUCGCCCCGGAGUCAGUUUCGUGACAGAAAAUUACGAAAAUGGUAAUUAGGCGCAAGCCAGCAGCAACGGCGACGUGCCGGCUACGGCUUAUUCAUACUUCGUAGCCAUGGCGAUCCUGCACUACUGAUAAAACAACAGUACACACCAUAAUGUACUUACGCGGAAUAGGGGGAACACCUUGCGUACCGGGUGUCACGAAAGUCGCGCACGAACGUCACCGAAGGAUGCGCGCUCAGAUGGCAACGUCGGUUUUCAUAUCAAAAGAAAAACACACUUAAUUUUGUAAUGUAAAAUGCCAUCCGAGAUCAAUCUGGUCCGAUUAAUGCUUGUCAGCGCGGGAAUCAAUAUUUUUCUUAAGCGCCGCGAGAGCCUCCCUUAUCUGGUCCCUGGUCCUGGAAUAUGAAGGGCCGUUCCCGGGGAUGAAGGGUAGAAUCGCGCGCGCUGCCCUUAAGGGUGCUGCCCUUCUCGGAUAAAACAGUCGUGGAUAGCAAUGGCUUCGGUGUUGCCGCGGCAUAUGGCGAUCUGAUGCGCGCUGCGUUUUUAUUGAGAUUCGUGAGCCAUAUGUCGGCUAUCCUUGAACGCGCUUUAAUUAGAUGCAAACAAAUCGGGAUAUCCUUGGACGUUCCCCUUCCGACAAAUAACACUUUGGACUAGAAUGCGAAGGGAAUUAAGGGAAUCCUUUGGAAAAAGCUCUGAAAGUUCCUCGGAACGGCUAUUGUUGUGGAAAUUUAUUCAGCGAAAGAAUUGGAGAGCAACGAGGAGAAUAAACGCCCACGUGCGUGCACUAGAUAAGGGGCGAUAACGGGUCAGCCACCCGGUAGAUAUCGCGGUCGAAAGUCUGGUUGGAAGAUCGUUCGAUUGAUAGAAAUCUCGAGUUAUGAAAUUGUAUGAUUACACGUUACUAAUCUGCCUUCGAAAUUUCCGCUGGAGGGGGGGGGGGAGAAUGCUUAA